rnacentral:rRNA from 1 species
GAUGAACGCUGGCGGCGUGCCUAAUACAUGCAAGUCGAACGGAAGGGCGCGGAGCUUGCUUCUCUGACGUUAGCCGAGGACGGGUGUGUCACGCGUGGAUAACGUACCUAUAAGACGGAGAUAACUUCGGGAAACCGGAGCAAAUAGCGGAUAAUAUUUUGAACCGCGUGGUUGAAAGGUGAGAGACGGUGGUGCUGUCACUUAUAGAUGGAUAUGCGCUGCAUUAGCUAGUUGGUAAGGUAACGGCUUACGAAGGCAACGAUGCAUAGCCGACCUGAGGGGGGGAUCGGCCACCCUAGAGCUGAGACACGCUCCAGACGCCUACGGGAGGCAGCAGUAGGCAAUCUUCCGCAAUAGUCGGAAGUCUUACGGAGCAACGCCGAGCGAGUGAUGACGGCGUCCGGUUCGUAAAACCCUCUUAUUAGGGAUGAACCGAUGUGGAAGUAGCUGUGGCCAUCUUGACGGUACCUAGUCAGAAAGCCCCGGCUAACUACGUG